rnacentral:misc_RNA from 1 species
UACGUAGGGGGCAAGCGUUGACCGGAAUUAUUGGGCGUAAAGCGCGCGCAGGCGGUCUCGUAAGUCUGAUGUGAAAGCCCACGGCCCAACCGUGGAGGGUCAUUGGAAACUGGGAGCCUUGAGUGUAGGAGAGUAAAGUGGAAUUCCACGUGUAGCGGUGAAAUGCGUAGAUAUGUGGAGGAGCACCAGUGGCGAAGGCGACUUUCUGGCCUACAACUGUCGCUGGGGUGCGAAAGCGUGGGGAGCAAACAGG